rnacentral:piRNA from 1 species
AUGCUGAUGGAUGCUCACUA